rnacentral:rRNA from 1 species
UACGUAGGGGGCGAGCGUUGUCCGGAUUUAUUGGGCGUAAAGAGCGUGUAGGCGGCCAGGUAGGUCUGCUGUGAAAACUCGAGGCUCAACCUCGAGACGUCGGCGGAAACCAUCUGGCUAGAGUCCGGAAGAGGAGAGUGGAAUUCCUGGUGUAGCGGUGAAAUGCGCAGAUAUCAGGAGGAACACCUGUGGCGAAAGCGGCUCACUGGACCAUAACUGACGCUGAUGCACGAAAGCUAGGGGAGCAAACAGG